UCUUCAUUUCACACACACAUUCACCGGUCAGAGUGACGAGAUAGUGUGUGAAAUGAAGAGA
rnacentral:pre_miRNA from 1 species